AGGGGCUGGCUGGAUUGCUGUUGGUUUUUCCCCUCCUGGUGGCUUUGCUUGGUUUGGGUUUAGUUUGGGAACAAACUUGUUUUAUAUCAACACUUCCUUCUACAUCGGGCGCCGUCGCCUCAACUGCGCGUGGGGGGCGAGGCGCCCACCCCGCACAAGAACAGAGGAGCGGGGGAGAAGAGACGGCCUCGCUGCUCACUGGGCCCCUUUGUGUGACUAAAUUUGGCAAGAAUAUGGAUCUGAGCCAGUCUUUCCACGUGUGCUCCCAGCUCCCAGCUGAGAAGGCCAAGGGUUCUCUUCCGGGAAAACCAGUUUGGCUAUUAAGGGAACCUGUCGACACAGAGCAGAGCAAGAUAAGGCCAGGUUUCAGAAAGAAUAGCUGUUUACCAUCAAAGCAACUGGGUUCCACACAGACAUGGUAUAUUAUACACAAAGACGAAGCAUUUAAUUCAGAGCUCAACACAAAUUCGAUUCCCAAUGAAGACUUCUUGAGCUAUACCGAGAGAAGAAGAUCAACAGAAGAUUUCUGGCUUUUUAUUUCGUGCUACUUUUUAAAAUCGCUCCUUCCAUAUAGAAGUCUGAGGUCACAUGGGCUUUUAGCAAGGCUAGGACAGAUCCAUUAUUAUUGUAAAUGGAAAAUGUAGAAAUUAAUACAUAUGCAAUAUGUAUAUAUUUAGAUACACCUCAUAUUGUUCAAACAAAACAAAACAAAAACCCUAAACCCUCUA
rnacentral:lncRNA from 1 species